UACGGAGGGUGCGAGCGUUAAUCGGAAUUACUGGGCGUAAAGCGCACGUAGGCGGUUAGGUAAGUCGGAUGUGAAAGCCCUGGGCUUAACCUGGGAACUGCAUUCGAUACUGCCCGGCUAGAGUAUGGGAGAGGGAAGCGGAAUUUCCGGUGUAGCGGUGAAAUGCGUAGAUAUCGGAAGGAACACCAAUGGCGAAGGCAGCUUCCUGGCCCAAUACUGACGCUCAGGUGCGAAAGCGUGGGGAUCAAACAGG
rnacentral:rRNA from 1 species